rnacentral:lncRNA from 1 species
AGGUGAGCGACACAGUAAUUUAGUCUACUAUGACAGUUAAUAGUAUUAAUCUAUAUUGUUAUAAUUAGAAAACAAUAACAUACAUUUGUUAAUGUGGACUAAAAUAUCCCAAAACUACGAUAGCAUAUAUAUAAAAAAGAUGUGGUAUGAUUGCCAAUGAGACAACCAUCCACAAGAGAAAUUAGAACUAUAGGUCACCGUACAGCCUUCAACAAUGUGCAAAGCCCAUACAGCAUAGUCAGCUAUAAAAGGCCCUAAAAGACAAUGUAAAACAAUUCAAACGAGAAAACUAACGGCCAUACUUGUAUAAAGAAAUGAACGAAAAAUGUAUGUUACAUUUUUCAAAGGGGCAAUAUACAUCCUUAGUUUUGUUUAAAUGUAUAUAAGUUGUAUUGAUAUCAUUAUGGUCUUUAUAGAUGUAAGAAGUUGUGGUAUGAUUGCCAAUGAGAUAACUCUCCAUCCAAGUCACAAUUUAUAAAAGUAAAC